rnacentral:lncRNA from 1 species
CUCGGUGGCUAUCUAACACUUGUAAACUCAUUGCUCAAUUUGAUACCUAUCUAUUGGAUGUCUUCACUAUUGAUAUCUCAACAAAUUUUAAAUGGAAUUGACAAGAGAUGUUGGAGUUGUUUGUGGUGGAGGGAUAAACAAUGCAAAGAAAUUCACUGUUUGGUUAAUUGAAAAUAGGUUUGUAGACAAAAAAUAAUGGG